rnacentral:pre_miRNA from 1 species
AAUAAGUGUAGUUUUACACUAUUCACGUUUAACGUUUGACCAUUCGUCUUAUUUAAAAAUUUUUUAUGAUUAAUAUUUUUAUUGCUAUUAGAUGAUAAAACAUGAAUAGCACUUUAUGUGUGACUAAAUAUUUUCAAAUUUUUCACAAAUUUUUUAAAUAAGACGGACGGUCAAACGUUGGGCACGGAUAUCCACGGCUG